CGGGGAAUUUUGGACAAUGGGCGAAAGCCUGAUCCAGCAAUGCCGCGUGUGUGAAGAAGGCCUUCGGGUUGUAAAGCACUUUUGUCCGGAAAGAAAUCCUCUGGGUUAAUACCUCGGGGGGAUGACGGUACCGGAAGAAUAAGCACCGGCUAACUACGUGCCAGCAGCCGCGGUAAUACGUAGGGUGCAAGCGUUAAUCGGAAUUACUGGGCGUAAAGCGUGCGCAGGCGGCUUUGUAAGACGGAUGUGAAAUCCCCGGGCUUAACCUGGGAACUGCAUUCGUGACUGCAAGGCUAGAGUAUGGCAGAGGGGGGUAGAAUUCCACGUGUAGCAGUGAAAUGCGUAGAGAUGUGGAGGAAUACCGAUGGCGAAGGCAGCCCCCUGGGCCAAUACUGACGCUCAUGCACGAAAGCGUGGGGAGCAAACAGGAUUAGAUACCCUGGUAGUCCACGCCCUAAAACGAUGUCAACUAGUUGUUGGGGAUUCAUUUCCUUAGUAACGUAGCUAACGCGUGAAGUUGACCGCCUGGGGGAGUACGGUCGCAAGAUUAAAACUUAAAGGAAUUGACGGGGUCAUAGCUGUUUCCU
rnacentral:rRNA from 1 species